GCCCCACCUCCUUUGCCACAGGAAUGAACUCACCACCUGGACUGGCCCAUCAGGGAACUCAAACUUCCCCAAAGUAACAAAGGUUUCAAGGUGGAGAAGUGUUCUAUAAGGAGACCACCCAAGUCCUUGCAGUGGCUGACUGCUGUGAAAGAGAAUCUCUCUCCAUCUGAGAUCAAGAACUAAAUAAGCCAGAUAUAUGUGCUGCCAUGUGUGGUUUCUGUGAAUGGGAACACGAGGACACAACAUGGCUGCAUUUUACUCUCCUGGUGGUGCUAGUUGUAGAGAAUCAGAUGUGACUGUGUUACUAUUACUGUCCUUGAUGGAGUCUGCCUGCAAACGGGAUAUUCUGACAAGGUAUAGAUAGGUAACAGCGGACAUGCUUGAAAACGAGGUGUCUGCUGUCCUUGGGAGGACUUGCCUGCAAACGGGAUGUUCUGCCAAGUGGGCUAGGAGGGCGCUGAGAAAAAUUUUAUUAUCUGUUCUUAACAAAGAGCAGAGCUCAGCAUACUCUGGGCCAAGAGUAGAUUAGCCAUGAGAAACAGGUCACUUUUGAUUAGAAAGUAAAACUUCUGUAUACUAUGUUUAAUUAGCUGAAAGACCUGAUUUAUUGAUGUUGGAAGGCUGCCUUCUUUGUUUACAAUACUAUA
rnacentral:lncRNA from 1 species